rnacentral:rRNA from 1 species
AGUGAACGCUGGCGGUAGGCCUAACACAUGCAAGUCGAACGGCAGCACAGAGGAGCUUGCUCCUUGGGUGGCGAGUGGCGGACGGGUGAGGAAUACAUCGGAAUCUACUCUGUCGUGGGGGAUAACGUAGGGAAACUUACGCUAAUACCGCAUACGACCUACGGGUGAAAGCAGGGGAUCUUCGGACCUUGCGCGAUUGAAUGAGCCGAUGUCGGAUUAGCUAGUUGGCGGGGUAAAGGCCCACCAAGGCGACGAUCCGUAGCUGGUCUGAGGGGGUGGUCAGCCACACUGGAACUGAGACACGGUCCAGACGCCUACGGGAGGCAGCAGUGGGGAAUAUUGGACAAUGGGCGCAAGCCUGAUCCAGCCAUACCGCGUGGGUGAAGAAGGCCUUCGGGUUGUAAAGCCCUUUUGUUGGGAAAGAAAUCCAGCUGGUUAAUACCCGGUUGGGAUGACGGUACCCAAAGAAUAAGCACCGGCUAACUUCGUGCCAGCCGCCGCCGUAA